rnacentral:rRNA from 1 species
GAUGAACGCUGGCGGCGUGCCUAAUACAUGCAAGUAGAACGCUGAAGGAAGGAGCUUGCUCUUUCCGGAUGAGUUGCGAACGGGUGAGUAACGCGUAGGUAACCUGCCUGGUAGCGGGGGAUAACUAUUGGAAACGAUAGCUAAUACCGCAUAACAGUAGAUGUUGCAUGAUAUCUACUUAAAAGGUGCAAUUGCACCACUACCAGAUGGACCUGCGUUGUAUUAGCUAGUUGGUGAGGUAACGGCUCACCAAGGCGACGAUACAUAGCCGACCUGAGAGGGUGAUCGGCCACACUGGGACUGAGACACGGCCCAGACUCCUACGGGAGGCAGCAGUAGGGAAUCUGCGGCAAUGGACGGAAGUCUGACCGAGAAACGCCGCGUGAGUGAAGAAGGUUGUCGGAUCGGAAAGCUCUGUUGUAAGAGAAGAACGAGUGUGAGAGUGGAAAGUUCACACUGUGACGGUAUCUUACCAGAAAGGGACGGCUAACUACGUG